CCUUGAUGUGCAGCUCCCACCCACGCGCUGUCCGGCGGCUGUGGUACCCGCCAAUCCGCCGCGGAUCAGGAGAACGGAGGAGGUGAAGCUGCAGCGUUGAGCUACCCGCCGGCAGCCGCACUGAUCCGCCGGGCCUCCCGCCGGACCACUGCGUGCCACCGGCCCGCCACGCUCCUCGGCGCGAGCAGCGAGGCCACUCCGGGCCGCCGGCGCCGCAGCUUGCGGAGGAGGAUCCACCACGUCGAGCCGCCGCGCCUCCCACUGGGCCACCGCGCGCAGUCGCGUCGCCGCGCUCCUCGGCGCGAGCGGUGAGGCCACGCUACGCUCAUCAAGGGAAAGAGAUUAUUGCGGACCUAGGCUCCGUGGGCGUCUCCUGCUAAUGCACCGCCAUCACUCGCUGCCUGCACGCAAAGGUCUGCGCAGCGCCGCCUCCUCCUGCCCAUAACUGGCACAAAAGACUCCAAGGUUCACUGAGUCCAUGACUCCAUGUAUCCUCUUUCUAGCGUAAGUUGUCCGCCCGCCUUCCAGAACAUUGGCGGCGUAACAUUUUGGAGCUUGCCUAGGCACAGUGAUGGCAACGGCUGGGCUGGGCGAUUCAGGAUUCAGGAAUGGCAGCGUGGUUGACAGGAGGAGCGUGGCCCCAAAUGCCAUCCUACAGUUGCAAGUGCAUGUCAUGUGCUCGCUGAAAUGCCUAUGUGAGAUGUUCAAGUCCUACUAUCGUUUUCCAAACCUACAUUUCAUCAGCAAAGGUAGCUGGAGGCUCUCCAGGAAAUGUGUCUAAUCUCUAUUUUCAUUUUGCAAAUCUGUACUUGGAUUUCAUGUGGAUUAUUUACUUGCCUAAAUGAUCAUCUCUACCUGCGGAUGAUCUCACAGAUGCAUCUUCUCAUGUUCAGUUUCACUAACAGGAAAAAGCCACUAAGUGAACCUUCAAUCAGAACAGCAACAGGGAAAUGCCAUAAUUACAUGAAAUGGUGCCUGGGGGUGUGCAUUAUCUUAGCAGAUCCAACUAUUAAAUUCUUGAUCCUGUGAGUGCAGGACCUGCAAUUCAUGCUCGUUGCUGUCCACUGAUACAAUAGGAUCCCCAAAUCCGUGUCAUUAAUAAGACAAACAAUGUCUAACUAAAAUGGAGGAGAUCAACUUGCUCUUUCAUGGCUUGAAAAAUUGAUCAUGAAGUUUCCGUUAAAUGGUUGGUAAAGCAAUUUUGGUCUCACUAUAUCUGUGUGCAAGAUGCAAGAAUUUCAGUUCGGAAUUCAACUUAACACUGCUAAAUUGAUACUUUUCAGAGUCAUAAAAAAUCAAGGUAUUCUAAGCCUUCUCUUUAUACAUGUGAAUGCUUCUUAGUAUAUUCUUUUUGAAAAACUGUGUUUGGUAACUAUUAUUCAAAAAUGUUAUAGAUUUUUGGGGUACAAGAUUCACAGUGGCAACAAGGUCGCUCGAAUCAGGCUGCAUAUGUGUCGCGUCCUUUCAAGGCUAUAUAUUUGUGUUGAUCUGCUUUUGCUUUUAGUAGAUUUGUACAUGGUUCUGUUAGCUCCAUUGGCUAAUACAAGAUGAGAUUAUAUUCUGUGCACUGUUGUUUAGCUUCUAAUUAGCUAGAAAGGGAAAAGGAACAUAUUUUUA